CACGUAGGGCGCAAGCGUUGUCCGGAAUUAUUGGGCGUAAAGAGCUCGUAGGCGGUCUGUUACGUCUGCUGUGAAAAUCCGGGGCUUAACCCUGGGCUUGCAGUGGAUACGGGUAGACUAGAGGCAGGUAGGGGAGAAUGGAAUUCCCGGUGUAGCGGUGAAAUGCGCAGAUAUCGGGAGGAACAUCAGUGGCGAAAGCGGCUUCCUGGACCAGCACCGACGUUCAGGCACGAAAGCGUGGGGAGCAAACAGG
rnacentral:rRNA from 1 species